CAGUAGCCACGGUAAUACGUAGGGUGCGAGCGUUAAUCGGAAUUACUGGGCGUAAAGCGUGCGCAGGCGGUUAUAUAAGACAGAUGUGAAAUCCCCGGGCUCAACCUGGGACCUGCAUUUGUGACUGUAUAGCUAGAGUACGGUAGAGGGGGAUGGAAUUCCGCGUGUAGCAGUGAAAUGCGUAGAUAUGCGGAGGAAUACCGAUGGCGAAGGCAGCCCCCUGGGAUAACACUGACGCUCAUGCACGAAAGCGUGGGGAGCAAACAGGAUUAGAGACCCCCGUAGUCCCUGUCUCUUAUAC
rnacentral:rRNA from 1 species